AGGCGGCAGUGGCAGGACUGGCUAUAGGAGCGAUUAACAAAUUCCUGCUCCGCUCUCGCUAUGUCUUAAACGUCAACAACUGCCGUUAAUUACAUAAGUAUUAAUCGACUAAGGACGCUGCUAAAUAAAGAGAACAGUGCACGAAGUUACGGAUUCGGACUCGGACGGACUUCCGGGAAGCCUGGAUCCUGCGGAGUAUCGUUAUCUCUGCCGACUUUUGUGACACCACAACCUUGAAUCCCGUCAUUGGACAUCAUAUUUUAUGGCCAUUAAACUUGAGGAGUGCAUUUUGAAACCCUGCUCCCGUGGACUCGCUGGACGGUGAUCGCACCAUAAAUAAAACUCCCAACUUGUAUUCUCAUCUUGAUCAACAGCGUUAUCUCUGCCGACUUUUGUGACACCACAACCUUGAAUCCCGUCAUUGGACAUCAUAUUUUAUGGCCAUUAAACUUGAGGAGUGCAUUUUGAAACCCUGCUCCCGUGGACUCGCUGGACGGUGAUCGCACCAUAAAUAAAACUCCCAACUUGUAUUCUCAUCUUGAUCAACAGAUAAGGAAAAUGACGUCAAUAAGCAGGGAUUUUGCUGUCUUUAUGUUCAGAGCUGAAAAGGAAAUUGUUUGUGUGCCAAAGACAUACUUAAAAGGAGAGACUCGCUGUGCUUGGCCGCUAAACUGCAAGAGCUUCUUAGAUUUUAAAUCUGUCAUCAAAAAGCAUCCUUCUCCACCAAGAGAUUCGAAUUGGAAUUACUUUGAGGGCAAAAUUAUUCGAA